GCGCACCAGUCGAGAACCUCCGCAAUACACGAAAGUGUGACGGGCCAUCCCGAGUGCCGUCCGCUGAGGACGGCUUUCCCCAGUGUACACAGCUGGGGGAAUAAGGAGAGGGCAAGCCUGGUGUCAGCCGCCGCGGUAAUACCAGCUCUCCGAGUGGUGGGGACGCUUAUUGGGCCUAAAGCAUCCGUAGCCGGCUGGGCAAGUCCUCCGUUAAAUCCAACGAUUCAAUCGUUGGGCUGCGGGGGAUACUGUCCAGCUUGGGGGCGGGAGAGGCCGACGGUAUUCCCGGGGUAGGGGUGAAAUCCUAUAAUCCCGGGAGGACCACCAGUGGCGAAGGCUGUCGGCUAGAACGCGCCCGACGGUGAGGGAUGAAAGCUGGGGGAGCGAACCGGAUUAGAUACCCCGGUAGU
rnacentral:rRNA from 1 species